AACGAACGCUGGCGGCAUGCCUAACACAUGCAAGUCGAACGAGACCUUCGGGUCUAGUGGCGCACGGGUGCGUAACGCGUGGGAACCUGCCCUUAGGUUCGGAAUAACUCCCCGAAAGGGGUGCUAAUACCGGAUAAUGUCUUCGGGCCAAAGAUUUAUCGCCUUUGGAUGGGCCCGCGUUGGAUUAGCUAGUUGGUAGGGUAAAAGCCUACCAAGGCGACGAUCCAUAGCUGGUCUGAGAGGAUGAUCAGCCACACUGGGACUGAGACACGGCCCAGACUCCUACGGGAGGCAGCAGUGGGGAAUAUUGGACAAUGGGCGAAAGCCUGAUCCAGCAAUGCCGCGUGAGUGAUGAAGGCUUUAGGGUUGUAAAGCUCUUUUACCCGGGAUGAUAAUGACAGUACCGGGAGAAUAAGCUCCGGCUAACUCCGUG
rnacentral:rRNA from 1 species